rnacentral:rRNA from 1 species
UAGGGAAUAUUGGGCAAUGGGCGCAAGCCUGACCCAGCCAUGCCGCGUGCAGGAAGAAUGCCCUCUGGGUUGUAAACUGCUUUUGGGAGGGGACAAAAAGCGGGUGCGCCCGUAAUUGAGUGUACCUCCAGAAUAAGCACCGGCUAACUCCGUGCCAGCAGCCGCGGUAAUACGGAGGGUGCGAGCGUUGUCCGGAUUUAUUGGGUUUAAAGGGUGCGUAGGCGGCCCGAUAAGUCGGGGGUGAAACCCACAGGCUUAGCCUGUGGAGUGCCCUCGAUACUGUCGGGCUUGGGUUAUCUCUAGGCGGGCGGAAUGGAAGGUGUAGCGGUGAAAUGCAUAGAUAUCUACCAGAACGCCGAUAGCGAAGGCAGCUCGCUGGGGAUAUACCGACGCUGAGGCACGAUAGCGUGGGGAUCAAACA